CACCAGACUCCUACGGGAGGCAGCAGUGAGGAAUAUUGGUCAAUGGGCGGGAGCCUGAACCAGCCAAGUCGCGUGAAGGAAGAAGGUACUUAGUAUUGUAAACUUCUUUUGUCGGGGAACAAAGGCGGGGACGCGUCCCCGGAUGAGUGUACCUGAAGAAAAAGCAUCGGCUAACUCCGUGCCAGCAGCCGCGGUAAUACGGAGGAUGCGAGCGUUAUCCGGAUUUAUUGGGUUUAAAGGGUGCGUAGGUGGUUAAUUAAGUCAGCGGUGAAAGUUUGUGGCUCAACCAUAAAAUUGCCGUUGAAACUGGUUGACUUGAGUAUAUUUGAGGUAGGCGGAAUGCGUGGUGUAGCGGUGAAAUGCAUAGAUAUCACGCAGAACUCCGAUUGCGAAGGCAGCUUACUAAACUAUAACUGACACUGAAGCACGAAAGCGUGGGGAUCAAACAGGAUUAGAUACCCCAGUAAGC
rnacentral:rRNA from 1 species